ACCGACCGGCGACCGAAAAAAAAAAAUCAAAAAAGAAGGAGAACCGGAUAAUGUAUAUGUUAUUUUAUUAGAGUUUAUUGAACAAUUCAGAGAACUGAUUUCUUGUCUUCACAUCCGCGUUCUCGGGCGCUCUUCUCCUGGGAUCAUGAUUAUGUCUUAGGCUUGAAAAAGGAAUUUCUAGUGGCUCCUCGAAAGCAUCGUGAGAGUUAAAUUUUGGAUUGUCGGUUGGAUUAAGAGACUCGGGAUUAGGUGGAAUUGAGGAUUUGCCAAAUUCUUAGAACGAAGCAAAGAAUAUAAUUCGAGAUUGUUAUUGUCUUCUAGGCGAAGGUUAAAUAAAGUCUUUAAUAUUUAGUUGAUGAAUUGAGAGUUUUGUAAUAAUGAGAUUCUUUUUUUAGG